rnacentral:misc_RNA from 1 species
AGACCAUAUAAUAAACUUCAUAUUCAAGCAUUAUACAUAAUAGAAUACAGCAGAGAGAAUCGAAUAAGCAAAUAGAAAUACUUCACCACCAGGUCACCACCUUGGAGGAGUUGGGUCCUGAGCAUCUCAGACAUUUCUAGCACCCACAGAGCAAAGUAUACCUAUAAACACCAAGGAAAAAAGAAAGACAAAAAAAAUUGCCCUUGUAGUUGCUAGGCCAACUGCUUGCUUCUUCAAUGUCAUGAAAAAGAUGUUACUUUUAAGUACGUGAAAAAGAGAAGUGUCCAUGAAAGAACUCAAACUAGUUCAAAUAUUUUAUGAGUGCCUAUUUUUUCCCUAAAUGAAGUGAUGAUGAAGUCACUGAAUCACACAUAAUUAUCAAAAGCUAGAAAGUCCCCCUGAAAGAAGAAUCCAAAAAGAGAAGCAAGAAUUGCUUAGGGAAUUUUAGAAUGACAACAAUUAUAUCAAGAUCAAGUCCGUCUCAUCAUAACCAAGUCCUUUAUGUCAUUGUCUUAUUAUCUUCUUUAUGUCAAUGUCUAGGAGACAUCAUACACUGAUAUACCCCAUAUAAAAUAUAAAAGGUCCCAAUUGCAAUUUCAUUUAGAUCUACCCAUUAGCCAAUCCAUUGGUGCAGAUGAAUUAAGCUAAAACUAAAUUAAGAUAAUGAAGUGGACAAGAAGAUUCUUAUGGCCCUCAAGCUACCAAUGUUUGGGAAACAAACAGUUGCAAGCAAAAUGAUCACGUAAACCUUCCUCAAUAUCCUA